rnacentral:rRNA from 1 species
ACACGCAUGACACACUGCAUAUCAAUAAGCGGAGGAAAAGAAAACUAACUAGGAUUCCCCUAGUAACGGCGAGUGAAGCGGGAAGAGCUCAAAUUUGAAAUCUUCAAGGUUUUUACCUUGACGAAUUGUAGUUUAAAGAAGUGUUUUUCUGUUGAAGUUUUUGGUAAAAGUUCUUUGGAAUAGGACAUCAUAGAGGGUGAGAAUCCCGUAUUUGAUCGUUACUUUUCCAGCUGUGUGAUACACUUUCAAAGAGUCGGAUUGUUUGGGAAUGCAGUCCAAAAUGGGUGGUAAAUUUCAUCUAAAGCUAAAUAUUGGCGAGGGGACCGAUAGCGAACAAGUACCGUGAGGGAAAGAUGAAAAGAACUUUGAAAAGAGAGUUAAACAGUACGUGAAAUUGUCAAAAGGGAAGCGUUUUGACACCAGUGUUGUUUUUUCCGAAAAUCAAUUACGAAUGUUUUUAUUUUUGAGAAGUUAUGACUUCAUCGGCUUGCUUCUCUCUUUAUGAAACUUUCUUAAUGCACUUUUCGGUUAACAAGUCAACAUCAAUUUCUUUUGUUGUAAAAGGGUAUGAGGAAGGUGGCUUUCUUUUCGGAGAAAGUGUUUAUAGCCUUGUACCUCUGCAAUCGGAGAGAUUGAGGUCUGCAGCGUAGAUCCUUCGGGGUUAGAUACAUUUGUGCUAAGUUAUAGCUUUUUCAUAGACAACUUGUUGACUAUGUUUAGUCUUGUAGCUUACUCGCUUAUGCUAUUUUACCUACGCUUAGGAUGUUGAGCGCAUGUCUCUCUCU